CUUGAAGAGGAGUUCACGUCCUAUCAGCUAGUUUGGUGAGGUAAUGGCUCACCAAGGCAUUUGACGGGUAGCUGGUCUAAGAGGAUGGUCAGCCACACUGGGACUGAGACACUGCCCAGACUCCUACGGGAGGCUGCAGUCGAGAAUCUUUUGCAAUGGGCGAAAGCCUGACAAUGCGACGCCGCGUGAGUGAUGAAGGUCUUCGGAUCGUAAAGCUCUGUUACGGGGGAUGAAAGCUUAGCCUUUUAAUACAGGGCUAGGUUGACAGUACCCUGAGAGGAAGCCACGGCUAACUCCGUGCCAGCAGCCGCGGUAAUACGGAGGUGGCGAGCGUUGUUCGGAUUGAUUGGGUGUAAAGGGCAUGUAGGCGUCCUGGUAAGUUGAAUGUGAAAUCCCGUAGCUCUAACUACGGAACUGCAUUUGAAACUACCGGGAUUGAGUACGGAAGGGGAGAAUGGAAUUCCCGGUGUAAGAGUGAAAUCUGUAGAUAUCGGGAGGAACACCAGUGGCGAAGGCGGUUCUCUGGGCCGAUACUGACGCUGAAAUGCGAAAGCUAGGGGGGCAAACAGGAUUAGAUACCCUGGUAGUCCUAGCCGUAAUACGAUGGGCACUAGGUGUAGG
rnacentral:rRNA from 1 species